rnacentral:lncRNA from 1 species
GCCACCCCCCAUCCCCAGCACAGGAAAGGAAUGAAUAAGCUCCACAUUAGCCUCCCAACCAUGCUGGCUUCCUUGUGGUCCCAGCUGUCUAAAUGUGUUCUGAAUUUUAAGGUGUGAUAACAAGAAUAUAUUUCCUCUGAAUCCAGAAGUCAGAUUGGAUCCUUGGGGUGGUCCGGUGGUUUACUUUCUAGAGUCUAACUGCAGGGAUGGCUCUAUUCAGCAUGUGUUACAUCAUGGAGUUCUUAGUACCGCAUCGGCUAUCCUCCAUGGCGUCUGCCCCUCCGUGCUGCUUCUAGCCCCGUCUUCCCAUCUGCAGUGGCUUGCUUCUCAUCCAUGCCUUUCCAGACCUUUCCCGACUCACCCUUUGUCUCCUUCUUUCAUCUACCCUUGCCACCCAGAGCACUUAGCUGCCGGUUCUGCUUUUAUAAAUAAUUUUUAAAAAAUAAAUCCCUUCAUUCCUUUGUGAA